AGUCGUUUGCGCUUGUAACUCCAAGCUUUGGAGGGCUAAAGAGUUCGUAUCGUUGAUUGUGGACUUGAAGCCCAAUGUCAGAGCACAGUGUAAACGCCACACCUGCUUCCUGUCUUCCCUACACCACGGUGUGUGCCAUAAAGGUCUGAGUGGUCCUCGUGUGGAGGCCUUCCGCCCGUGUCGAGCAUAAGAGGGUCGGGUGGUCCUGUGAAGGAGAAUUGGCAGGCAGCGGGCCUCGAGGCUGCAGGAUCCCUUGGGCUGGAGUACCACUUCAUGUAGCAUGGGGUUCGCUUACUAAUC
rnacentral:lncRNA from 1 species